rnacentral:lncRNA from 1 species
UGAGGAUAUCAUCAACUUGCAUUCCAUUUAAAUAUAAACUUUGCUCGACAAGGCGAUAUUAUAUAAGACUGACCGGACGCCAAAUUCCCCUCAUGAGUCAUAUUCAGUGCUGAGGAUAAUCUAAACAGCAACUUGGCAGGUUGACAUUUACGAUCACACCUGGCACUUGAGUUAAAAAUAUCACAACGAUAUAAACAAUCACCGCAAGACUACACCAAGAAGGGAAAUAGCUGCUAAGUUGACAUAUUUAUUUUAUUUUAAUUAUUUGAUAAUACAUCCAUAUGCAUAAGUCAGGUGAUCAUAAUUUUGUUAAAGACCUGCUAACUUAAACUUCAAUCUGUGUUAUAAAUUUAUAAUAGUAUGAGUUUCUGAAACAGAGCAUAAGCAUGAAUUAGUUCAAAUUCUUAUUGGCAUGAAAGCUAGUAUAAGUUAAGAAUCACUCCAAAGUCUGAAAACCUAAGCUCAGAGUUCGAGAAGCCUUAACCAAGUAAUAUAGCCUGAGACUAGAAGCAAGUUAGUUCUCCAUGUCUUUUUGCGCUGUUGGAAGAAAAUAAUCUGGUUUAUAAAUAGUAAUUUCAGUAAAUGCAGCAAAAAAAAAACGCAAAUGAACAUAAGGAACAUAUGUAGGACGAUACAUUGACAAUGUCAAGUAACAUCCUGACACAAUGCCUAGACCUUUCUGCUACAAUGCAGCUGAAUUCAUGUGUUAUAUGAUGUCUAUUCGAGUCUGUCUGUACAAGCACGAGACUCCUUAACUCCUAAAAGUUUGUAAGAGUUUUUUACUUUAAUGGAACUUUACAUUAUUAAAUAUGUUCCUUUACUGAAAAUAACUAAUCCUUAGAAAAAGACUAUCCACGCCAUCCCCAAUGUUAAACCAGAUUAACAAUUCUAUUUGGUGGCUGAUUUUCUUAAGGUUUGUCUACAAGGCAGGCCGUGAUCCUACCUAAGUAUUCUGUUUUGCCAUCUGUCAAUUGUCAUCAAGUAUAAGUCAACUAAGAUAUAAAAUACAAGCAAUCUGAGUGUGAAGAUCAGAAUGUCAACCUCCAAACAAAUCCUGAUGUAACGAGCUAGUGAUCACAUAGAGAUGCUCAACCGGACCAGAUAGUUUACAUGAAUUCCUUUCCGACAUUAACAUAGUUGCAGUCUAAAAUCCAUAUCGACAAGCAUAUAAAUCCCAAAUCAGAACCACAGACAAAGCAAGCAAAUUGGUUGCUUUCAUAUAAUGUAUGAGCUUGAUUCUCAAGACUGCUCCCUAGUUUACUUAAAC